rnacentral:lncRNA from 10 species
CGGAUAAGGGGUGUGGGGUGCGGGGACAAUGGGCCAGAGCUUCUCAUGCAGCCUGCACCAGCGCCGGGUCGGAGAGUCAGAGGCCACCCUGAGAUGGACCGAGAUCUUCAGUUGGGGAGGCGCCUCCGGUGAGCUUGCGGCCAGAUGCCCCCUCAGUAGUCCUCCGCAACAGGUGCCGCGCAGCCGAGUGGCGGGCUAGCAUACCGCCUGCCCGCAAUUCGGCCAGGCCUCGAGCCUGCUCCGCCUUCCCGCUGCGGUAGCGCCGCCGGGGAAACGCCGCCACGGGCUGCAUGGGCAGCGCUCGCGCCCCGCCGCUGAGCCGCCGGGGAGCCGUCCAGUCUUCGAAUCCCAGAAACACAAAGAUGGUGCAGACCCAGGCCCUGCUUUGACUGGGAGAAAGAUGCAUUCAGUUGACUAAAACUUGAACGGUCGGCUCCACCAGUGCAAGGAUUGUGCCUGUCCUCUUCCCGGGCUGAUCUUCCCCUGUGCCUGGAACAGCACCUGCUAUAUAAAUUAUGUGCUGGAUACACACACUCGAAAAGCAAGAGAUCAGGCUCCCUGAGAAAGGCAGUUUACUUCUAUAGAAGGGUGCACCCUCACAGAUGGACCAAUGUGUCAGGAGAAUUCAGUCACACCCAAAGCAGGAGAUGCGGGAGGCCAGAUGCGCAAGAUGGACACUCGGCUCCUCCUUCGUCCCCGCCUCUCCUCGCUUCCAGGGUAGCAGCCUCAACAAGGGAAACUAUUGUUCCAGUGGAGGCUGCGAGGAUGUCGGUGAUUUACGCGCCGAGCUGUAGCUGCAAAAGGACAAGGGCAAGUGCCGGCCCGACCUAGGGCCCACCGGUCUCUGGCUUGCUCUUGUGAGUAGGUGCACCCUGCCCGCUUGUGGUGGCCUCAGGGGUAAGAAAUCAGGACCCACCCAG